ACUGCUCAGUAACACGUAGCUAAUCUAACUUAGGUCGAGGAUACCCUCGGGAAACUGAGAUUAAUACUCGAUAAGAGAUAUACCCUGGAAAGAUUUAUCUCUGAAAUUCGAGCCUAAGGAUGAGGCUGCGGCGGAUUAGGUUGUUGGCGGGGUAACUGCCCACCAAGCCGAUGAUCCGUAAGGGCUCUUAGCGGAGAGGCCCUGAGAGGGAAUCUGAGACACUAUUCCCAGCCCUACGGGGUGCAGCAGUUAAGAAUAAUCUACAAUGCGCGAAAGCGUGAUAGUUUGAGCCAGAGUGCUUUUCAAUUUGAAAAGCUUUUGCUUAGUGUAAAAAGCUAGGCGAAUAAGGACUGGGUAAGACGAGUGCCAGCCGCCGCGGUAAUACUCGCGGUCCAAGUCGCAGCCAUCUUUAUUGGGUCUAAAACAUCCGUAGCUUGCUUAGUAAGUUCCUUGUGAAAUCCGGCAUCUCAAGUGUCGGGCGCGCGGGGAGUACUGCUGAGCUAGAGACUGGAAGACGUAACGAGUACGUUUGAGGUAGUGGUAAAAUACGUUAAUCUUAGGCGGACUAACAAUAGCGAAGGCACGUUACGAGGACAGUUCUGACAGUAAGGGAUGAAGGCUAGGGGCGCAAAACGGAUUAGAUACCCGUGUAGUCCUAGCAGUAAACACUGCAUACUAAACAUUAGUACCUCCUCGAGAGGUAUUGGUGCUGAAGCGAAGGCGAAGAGUAUGCUACCUGGGAAGUAUAGUCGCAAGGCCGAAACUUAAAGGAAUUGGCGGGGGAGCA
rnacentral:rRNA from 1 species